UACGUAGGUGGCAAGCGUUGUUCGGAAUUAUUGGGCGUAAAGGGCGCGUAGGCGGUUUGCUAAGUCAGUUGUGAAAGCCCGGGGCUCAACCCCGGAGGGUCGGCUGAUACUGGUGGACUAGAGUACGGAAGAGGUAGCUGGAAUUCCCGGUGUAGCGGUGAAAUGCGCAGAUAUCGGGAGGAACACCGGUGGCGAAGGCGGUUCUCUGGGCCUGACCUGACGCUGAGGAGCGAAAGCGUGGGGAGCGAACAGG
rnacentral:rRNA from 1 species